AGUGAACGCUGGCGGUAGGCCUAACACAUGCAAGUCGAACGGCAGCACAGUAAGAGCUUGCUCUUACGGGUGGCGAGUGGCGGACGGGUGAGGAAUACAUCGGAAUCUACUUUUUCGUGGGGGAUAACGUAGGGAAACUUACGCCAAUACCGCAUACGACCUACGGGUGAAAGCAGGGGAUCUUCGGACCUUGCGCGAUUGAAUGAGCCGAUGUCGGAUUAGCUAGUUGGCGGGGUAAAGGCCCACCAAGGCGACGAUCCGUAGCUGGUCUGAGAGGAUGAUCAGCCACACUGGAACUGAGACACGGUCCAGACUCCUACGGGAGGCAGCAGUGGGGAAUAUUGGACAAUGGGCGCAAGCCUGAUCCAGCCAUACCGCGUGGGUGAAGAAGGCCUUCGGGUUGUAAAGCCCUUUUGUUGGGAAAGAAAAGCAGCAGGUUAAUACCACGCUGUUCUGACGGUACCCAAAGAAUAAGCACCGGCUAACUUCGUG
rnacentral:rRNA from 1 species